AUUCCAGCUCCAAUAGCGUAUAUUAAUGUUGUUGCAGUUAAAAAGCUCGUAGUUGGAUUUCUGGUCGGGACGUCUGGCCGGCUCCGCAAGGGGUCGUUGCAUUGACUGUACUCGUCCAUCCUCAGGUUGACUAGCUCUGGUAUUUAUUUAUCGGUGUUAGAACGCCUGUCGUUUACUGUGAACAAAUUAGAGUGUUCAAAGCAAGGUGUACUUGAAUACAUUAGCAUGGAAUAAUAAGAUAGGACUUUGGUGGUUCUUUUUGAUAUUUUGUUGGUUUGCACGCCAAAGUAAUGAUUAAUAGGAGCAGUUGGGGGUAUUCGUAUUCAAUUGUCAGAGGUGAAAUUCUUGGAUUUAUAGAAGACGAACUACUGCGAAAGCAUUUACCAAGGAUGUUUUCAUCA
rnacentral:rRNA from 1 species